GAUCAUGGCUCAGGAUGAACGCUAGCUACAGGCUUAACACAUGCAAGUCGAGGGGAAACGAUAUUGGAAGCUUGCUUCCGAUAGGCGUCGACCGGCGCACGGGUGAGUAACGCGUAUCCAACCUGCCCAUCACUUGGGGAUAACCUUGCGAAAGUAAGACUAAUACCCAAUGACGUCUCUAGAAGACAUCUGAAGGAGAUUAAAGAUUUAUCGGUGAUGGAUGGGGAUGCGUCUGAUUAGCUUGUUGGCGGGGUAACGGCCCACCUAGCCUGCGAUGGAUAGGGGUUCUGAGAGGAAGGUCCCCCACAUUGGAACUGAGACACGGUCCAAACUCCUACGGGAGGCAGCAGUGAGGAAUAUUGGUCAAUGGGCGAGAGCCUGAACCAGCCAAGUAGCGUGAAGGAUGAAGGUCCUACGGAUUGUAAACUUCUUUUAUACGGGAAUAAAGUUUCCUACGUGUAGGAUUUUGUAUGUACCGUAUGAAUAAGCAUCGGCUAACUCCGUG
rnacentral:rRNA from 1 species